UCUCCUCUGCGUCUCCAGGCUACUUGGAACAUGAACAUGCUGCAGACACAGGAUCUUAUGAAGUCAGCGCAGGCAGCCCUGGAAAAGAAGAGUCCGAAAGACGUGCCCUUCUCCAAGCUUUAAAGGAGAAGAUCCAGGGCUGUUGAAGCUGCGGUGGAACUGAGACAUCAUCAUCCACAUAUCUUCAGUUCUUCUUGCUAAGAGAACGAGAAACUCGGACACAACAGUACAUCCUGACCAUUGGUACUGUGUACACAUCAACAUACACACACGUCUCCAUGCUGGACAUCUCAGGAGCUUUCACACAGUGCUAGGAAUAUCCCGGGACAGAGAAACGCACCUUCUAAG